AUUUCCCAUUGAAAGACCCCCGAAGGGAGACCCUCACUCAAGCCUCGGGACAGCCGCGGACCCAAGAAGACACUGAGACCG
rnacentral:pre_miRNA from 7 species